AACGAACGCUGGCGGCGUGGCUAAGGCAUGCAAGUCGAACGGACCCUUACGAGGGGUAACCUGAGUUUGGGUUAGUGGCGAACGGGUGGGGAAUGCAUGGAUAACGUACCCCAGACACGGGGAUAGCGGCGGGACGCAAGUCUCUUUAGCGAAAGUGCCGGUAAUACCCGAUGACCCCGUAGGAUCGCAUGAUCCAGCGGGCAAAGCUCCGACGGUCUGUGAGCGAUCCAUGCCCUANCAGCUAGUUGGUGGGGUAACGCCCACCAAGGCGGCGACGGGUAGCGGGCGUGAGAGCGUGGCCCGCCACAUCGGGACUGAGACACGGCCCGGACACCUACGGGUGGCUGCAGCAACGAAUAUUCCGCAAUGGACGAAAGUCUGACGAGCGCGCCGCGUGCAGGAAGAAGUCCCUCGGGAUGUAAACUGCUGUCGGGGUUAGGAAUAAAAUGACCAGCCCCAAAGGAAGCACCGGCUAACUCCGUGCCAGCAG
rnacentral:rRNA from 1 species